GCCCUAACGGGAAUUGAAAUGGUUAGAGCGUCUGUCCGGUAAUCAGAAGGUUACGUGGUUCAAUUCCCGUUAGGGCU